UUACGGCCAUACCACGCUAGGUCACCUGUUCCCAUACGAUCACCGAAGUUAAGCCACGUCGAGCCUGGUCAGUACCGAGAUGAGUGAGAUCUUGGGAGUUCAAGGCACUGUAAG